GUCCCUGUAGUGCAAAGGAGAGCACGUUGGACUUCUCAUCCAAAGAUCUUGCGUUCGAAUCCCAACUGGGAUG